rnacentral:snRNA from 1 species
AUCGCUUCUCCGCCUUUUGGCUAAGAUCAAGUGUAGUAUCUGUUCUUAACAGUUUAAUAUCUAAAAAAAAAAAAAAAUCGUACAAGAUGCUACAUGAGGUAGAAAAGGCAACCCAAA